rnacentral:rRNA from 1 species
GCGUAGGCGGCUUAGCAAGCCAGGGGUGAAAGGCAUUGGCUCAACCCAAUGUUAAGCCUUUGGAACUGUUAAGCUUGAGUGCAGGAGAGGUAAGUGGAAUUCCUAGUGUAGAGGUGAAAAUUCGUAGAUAUUAGGAGGAACACCAGUGGCGAAGGGCGACUUACUGGACUGUAAACUGACGGCUUGAUGCACGAAAGCGUGGGUAGCGAACAGGAUUAGAUACCCUGGUAG